GCCCUCAUGGCUCAGGGGUAGAGCAUUCCCUUGGUAAGGGAAAGGUCACGGGUUCAAAUCCCGUUGAGGGCU
rfam:Pseudanabaena biceps PCC 7429 scaffold_00355, whole genome shotgun sequence.